rnacentral:rRNA from 1 species
CACGUAGGGGGCGAGCGUUGUCCGGAUUUAUUGGGCGUAAAGAGCCCGCAGGCGGCUUGGCAAGUUUGAGGUGAAAUCUCCCGGCUCAACUGGGAGGGUGCCUUGAAAACUGCUAGGCUUGAGGCAGGGAGAGGGAUGUGGAAUUCCAGGUGUAGUGGUGAAAUGCGUAGAUAUCUGGAGGAAUACCGGUGGCGAAGGCGGCAUCCUGGACCGGCAUUGACGCUGAGGAGCGAAAAGCCAGGGGAGCAAAGCGGG